GAUGAACGCUAGCGACAGGCCUAACACAUGCAAGUCGAGGGGAAACGAUAUUGGAAGCUUGCUUCCGAUAGGCGUCGACCGGCGCACGGGUGAGUAACGCGUAUCCAACCUGCCCGCCACUUGGGGAUAACCUUGCGAAAGUAAGACUAAUACCCAAUGACGUCCAUAGAAGACAUCUGAAAUGGAUUAAAGAUUUAUCGGUGAUGGAUGGGGAUGCGUCUGAUUAGCUUGUUGGCGGGGUAACGGCCCACCAAGGCGACGAUCAGUAGGGGUUUUGAGAGGAAGGUCCCCCACAUUGGAACUGAGACACGGUUCAAACUCCUACGGGAGGCAGCAGUGAGGAAUAUUGGUCAAUGGGCGAGAGCCUGAACCAGCCAAGUAGCGUGCAGGAUGACGGCCCUAUGGGUUGUAAACUGCUUUUAUAAGGGAAUAAAGUGAGCCUCGUGAGGCUUUUUGCAUGUACCUUAUGAAUAAGGACCGGCUAAUUCCGUGCCAGCAGCCGCGGUAA
rnacentral:rRNA from 1 species